GACUCGGUGGCGCAACGGUAGCGCGUCUGACUCCAGAUCUGAAGGUUGCGUGUUCGAAUCGCGUCUGGGUCA
rnacentral:tRNA from 1 species